ACCCGGUUAGCUCAGUUUGGUAGAGCGCCAGCCUUUUAAGCUGGUGGUCGAGGGUUCGAGUCCCUCAUCGGGUG
rnacentral:tRNA from 1 species